UCCCUGGUGGCUCAGAUGGUAAAGCGUCUGCCUGCAAUGCAGGAGACCUGGGUUCGAUUCCUGGGUCGGGAA
rnacentral:tRNA from 1 species